rnacentral:piRNA from 1 species
UUUCAAAACGAUUACCGUCUG